UUUACUACUCCAAAAACUGUAGGUUUACUACCUUUGUGCACUUUUGUUCUUUGUGGGCCCACGAGUCACUGUAAAGUAAAUUUCAUAUCUCGAUUAUCUGUAUUAUAGUACUUAUGAAUUUAUUUAGCUUUUACAUUACAAAAAUUAUUUACUGAUGACUCUAUAAAUAUUGUUUUACAAGAAAUUAGAAUAUUUUAUUGAAUAUUUUUAUUUUAUUCAAAUAGUUGUAAUAUCAUUUUUAAUAAAUGUUUUAGACACCCAAAUUUAUUUUAAAUCAUGAAAUAUGUGUUUUUCACUCAUCUACUACAUUUUUAGUCGGGUUUGAAAAAUUUCGAGAAAAAAUGACGAAAAUGCCCUUGUGAGGUGAAAAUUAUUUUUUCACGGUUUUGAAGGGGAAAAAGCUUAAAAUUCUUUAAAAACGAGGUUUGGCGAUGAUUACUCACAGGGGAGAUGAGAAAAAUGGUACUAAAGCCUUGCGGGGUUCCUGUUGGCACUCCGGGUAACGAAUGUCUACCGAGACGUCGCGGCGAUUCUCACAGGCUCGAAGAGAGUACCGGGUCAUGACAUUGAAACUUUAGGUUGUUCGUCACCUUGAAGUAGACAAAUUUUUUAAGUUUGAAAGAAGUCAAAAUAUGUGAUUUUUAUAGAACAAUCUUUUGGAAAUAAAAAAAUGGUGAUAAUGAUUCCUUUGAUUUUCAGAUGACCAAAAAUGAUUUUUCAUAAUUUUUGGAGUACGUUUGUAAUGGCAAAUGUGAGCACAAAUUUAAU
rnacentral:lncRNA from 1 species